rnacentral:rRNA from 1 species
UACGGGGGGGGCAAGCGUUGUUCGGAAUUACUGGGCGUAAAGGGCUCGUAGGCGGCCAACUAAGUCAGACGUGAAAUCCCUCGGCUUAACCGGGGAACUGCGUCUGAUACUGGAUGGCUUGAAUCCGGGAGAGGGAUGUGGAAUUCCAGGUGUAGCGGUGAAAUGCGUAGAUAUCUGGAGGAACACCGGUGGCGAAGGCGGCAUCCUGGACCGGUAUUGACGCUGAGGCGCGAAAGCCAGGGGAGCAAACAGG